ensembl:lncRNA
UGGAACUGCUGGAUAGCAGUUUGUGCUGCUAGUUAGCAGUUGGAGCUGCUGGAGAGCAGUUGGGGCUGCUGGUUAGCAGUUGGCACUGCAGGUUAGCAGUUGGCGCAGCUGGAUAGCAGUUGGAGCUGCUGGUUAGCAGUUGGCACAGCUGGAUAGCAGUUGGAGCUGCUGGAUAGCAGUUGGCACAGCUGGAUAGCAGUUGUGCAGCUGGAUAGCAGUUGGAGCUGCUGGACAGCAGUUGGAGCAGCUGGUUACUAUUUUGCUGUUCUGGGCCUUGAUCAGCAGUACAUCAGUAGGGCUGCUGCCUGGCUCUUCUGAGAAUCUACUAUGCUGCCUGCCUCUCCUUGUAACCUACUAUGCUGUCUGCCUCUUCUUGGAAUCUACUACAACACCUGGCUCUUCUUAGAAACUACUAUGCUACCUGGCUCUUGGAACCUACUAGGCUGCCUGCCUCUUUUUUGCAAUCUAUUGCACUGCCUGCCUCUUUUUUUUUUGGAAUAUACUGCUCUGCUUGCCUCUUCUUGGAAUCUGUGACACUGCCUGCAUCUUCUCUGGAAUAUACUAUGCUGUCUGCAGCUUCUUUGGAAUAUGCUACGCCACCUGCAUCUUCUUUGGAAUAUACUAAGACACCUGCCUCUUAUUUGGAAUAUACUACACUGCCUGUGUCUUUUUUUGGAAAAUACUGUGUCGUCUUCCUCCUCCUGGAAUAUACCACACCACCUGCCUCUUUUAUGGAAUAUACCACACCACCUGCCUCUUUUAUGGAACAUACCACGCCACCUGCCUCUUUUAUGGAAUGUACUGUGCUACCUGCCUCUUCUAUGGAACAUACUAUGCCACCUGCCUCAUUUAUGGAAUAUAUUGCACCACCUGCCUCUUUUAUGAAAUAAAUAUACCAUGCUGCCUGCCUCCUUUUGGAAAACACCAAGCUGCCUGGCUCUCUUUGGAAUAUACCACACCGCCUGGCUCUCUUUGGAAUAUACCAUGCCGCUGUUUCAAGGUACAACUGGAUCUGAGAGACAGGAUGUCUCAGGAGCAGAGGCAAGCAAAUUAUGCACUUAGAGCAGCACAGGGUUAUGGGUUUUAUUCAACAUACGCACAGUCAUAUUUGUGGCUAGAGCCACAAAUACCACUUCACUUAAAACUGUCAGAAUACUUUGUUCCAUCCUAGGAUCAUUCUUCAGUCAGGGGCCUUUAGGUCCCCAACACAGACACCUGGCUCUCUUUGGAGUAUACCGCACCAACUGGAUCUCUUUGGAAUACAUGGCACUGUCUGGCUCUCCUUGCAAUAGAGUACACCACCUAGCUCUUUCCAUUACACCUGUGAUUUUGUUUAUAUAACUGUAAUGCAUUUUCCUUGUUGUAUCAUAAAAUGGCUUGGUUUGCAAUGGACCUCAAAGAUCAUCAUAUUCCAACUCCCCUGCCACAGGCAGGGUUGCCCUCUGCUGUAACAGUUACUGCAUCUGUUUGCUCAGGGCCUCAUCCUUCAUCAAAUUGAACACCUCCAGGGAUGAGGCAUCUACAACUUGUCUGGACAACCUGUUCCAGCACCUCAC